AUACGGAGGGUGCAAGCGUUACUCGGAAUCACUGGGCGUAAAGCGCGCGCAGGCGGCUAUUUAAGUAGGAUGUGAAAGCCUACGGCUCAACCGUAGAACUGCAUCCAAAACUAUUUAGCUAGAGUGUGGGAGAGGAAGAUGGAAUUAGUUGUGUAGGGGUAAAAUCCGUAGAGAUAACUAGGAAUACCAAAAGCGAAGGCAAUCUUCUGGAACACUACUGACGCUGAGGCGCGAAAGCGUGGGGAGCAAACAGGAUUAGAAACCCUAGUAGUCC
rnacentral:rRNA from 1 species